GAUGAACGCUGGCGGCGUGCCUAAUACAUGCAAGUCGAGCGAACAGACGAGGAGCUUGCUCCUCUGACGUUAGCGGCGGACGGGUGAGUAACACGUGGAUAACCUACCUAUAAGACUGGGAUAACUUCGGGAAACCGGAGCUAAUACCGGAUAAUAUAUUGAACCGCAUGGUUCAAUAGUGAAAGACGGUUUUGCUGUCACUUAUAGAUGGAUCCGCGCCGCAUUAGCUAGUUGGUAAGGUAACGGCUUACCAAGGCAACGAUGCGUAGCCGACCUGAGAGGACGAGCAGCCACACUGGAACUGAGACACGGUCCAGACUCCUACGGGAGGCAGAAGUGGGGAAUAUUGGACAAUGGGCGCAAGCCUGAACCAGCGAUACAGAGUGAGUAAAGAAGGUCUUCGGGUUGUAAAGCCCUUUUAUGGGGAAAGAAAAGCAGCAGGUUAAUACCUCGCUGUUCUGACGGUACCCAAAGAAGAAGCACCGGCUAACUUCGUG
rnacentral:rRNA from 1 species